GAAAAGAGCUGUUAAGACACGUGUCUUGUUAUGAUCAAGAAAACCCUUAAAGUCGGCCCUACCUUUUUAUCUUACGGUGCAUGGACAAAAGAGUAUCGCUCUUUUUUUUUAUGGCGUAAGGAUAAGGCGCCCGUGAUGACUCCAAGCCAAAAUGGUGUUUACUGCAGCCUGAAGAAACUUAUUGAGAGUUACAGGUGGCCACAAAAGCAGUACCAUCGGCGUAUUGGUAUAAUGAACAGAAUACCUUGGGUUAGAAAUAUCGGCAACAUAAAGAACAUGUAUAAGACGUGAUAGAACUGAGCCUUGAGUACCUCCAGCAGAAACAUUGAAGGAUCGAGAGAGAGUGCACGUCUUUCACACAGAAGUGAGUUGAUAAUUCGGAUGUUGUCCCAGUAUGAAAAUUGGUGGGCCAACAGAGGGCUGCGCUCUCUCUCCUUGGCCAGGAGAAGAAUCUAAAUGUAGUUAACUGUGGAGGUAUGGAUGGGAAGGUGCAAACCGUCUAAUAUUCUCUGAAGAGCUAUUUAUGCAUGCAGCAUAAUAUUCAGAUCUACCUAUUAUCUCACACAAGUCACUGCUCAAUACCAGAACUUGUGGUUGGGCUGGAUCAUAGACAUACUAAAAUACUAGAUCGUGUAUUGACACUGUAAUCUGUCUGAUUUGCUGAAGAUAGUGACGUGUGCAUCUCACCAUUUUUGGUACGAUUAAAACAUCAACAUCGACUAAUUUCCGUGUGUAUUUAUUAUUCUAACAAAAUGCUGAGUUGUGCGGCUUACGGUUGUACAAACAGUACAAAUGCUUUUCGGGGACAAAACGUUCAUCAGGAAAAACAUUUCACAAAGUUCCUAGGAAUCCUGAAGAAUGUAAGUUGGUUAAACUAAGGCGGUCCCUUGGAAUCCUGAAGAAUGUAAGUUGGUGAAACUAAGGCGGUCCUUAGGAAUCCUGAAGAAUGUAAUUUGGUGAAACUAUGGCGGUCCUUAGGAAUUCUGAAGAAUGUAAGUUGGUUAAACUAUGGCGGUCCAUAGGAAUCCUGAAAAAUGUAAGUUGGUGAAACUAUGGCGGUCCAUAGGAAUCCUGAAGAAUGUAAGUUGGUGAAACUAUGGCGGUCCAUAGGAAUCCUGAAAAAUGUAAGUUGGUGAAACUAAGAUGAGAGAAUUUCAAGUCAUCUCCCCAUGCUACCUUAUGUUAUUCUAAGUUAUGUUAUUCAUAAGUUACAGUUUGGUAAUUAUUAGAUAAAUCGUCUAAUGAUCCAUCUCAUAGAGAUAAUACUAAUUUGAAGCACUUUUAUCUAUUC
rnacentral:lncRNA from 1 species